ACAGUAAAAAUGAAUGUUAAACUGUCAUAACUCUAUCAUUAUAUUUUAACAUUUCUGUGGUUUCUAGUUUUAUGUCACCAAUCAAUACAACGUAUAGACUAUAUCACUUCUGCAUAAUAAAAUUAUGAAGUCAAAAAGAAUUAAUAGAGUCUAUCAUAAUAACGAAGGAAAUGGAUAUUUAGCUUAUUUCAUCAUUACCUCUGGACACCGGAGAAACUAGUAAUCUGUGAUAGACACUUGCAACUCAAGAAACGUUGUAGCCUGGAGGUGCUCCAACACUCUUUGGAAGACACCAAACAUGACUUCUAAAACCUACAAUUGAAAUGUUGGCACCAAAAAUGUGAGAUGAUGGGAGACCGAGAGGUGAGGCAUUGCCACAGUACAGCGAAUGAUAUCAACUUGUAUGUGGAUAUUAGUUACAGUGCUAACUUUAUUAUCCAGCAUCGUGAUUAUCUGAACCAUAUUAAGUACCUACAAGUUAAAUUUUAUGGCACACAACAGAACAGCUCUAAAGUGGCUUGAAAAACAACCAUAGUGAAGAGAAUAAAGCCUAUAAAUUCAUUGUUAACAUUUGUUUGCAAAGUUGAAUAAAUAUGUCGAAGAGUUGCUGUUAACAUGUUCCUGACAACAAAGAGGAGACUUGAUGAUGCAGUAUGAAAUGUUAGUGUUCUAAUUUCAAUAGAGUCCCAGGAAUAUCAAUGUUCGAUCCUGGUGCGUUCCAUAGGAGAUCCCAGGAUCCCUGCUAUUGUGCUUUGAGUUUGGCCGCCGAGGAGGUUUUAGUGGGUAGUAAUCCCACAUGUUCUACUUUUCCCCCAAAGCUAGAGCACCUUUGGAAGAUUUCCUCUUCAUUAAAAAAAUUAGGAGUAUUAAUGUUUAAUCAAAAUUUCCAGCAAAAUAUUUAUAACAUAUUAAAUGGCUUAUGUCAAAUGACAACUAACAAAUAUUAUAAUACUAAC
rnacentral:lncRNA from 1 species